rnacentral:misc_RNA from 1 species
GUAAGGCGGUGGACCGGUGCAACCCAUCAUUCGUCCAUAGGACGGUUAGAAGCGAGGGACAGUUGCCAAAUCCAAAACGUAGAGAUGUCUUAUCAUCGUCAAGGAUCAGCAAAGCAAACCCCACUAAUUUAUUUAAGAGGAGCUCGCCUUCAAAGUGAGGGCAAGCAUUGAUCCUCCAAGUCCAAAACCCUUUCUCCAAUUAAAGAACGGGUUUUGAAGAUUUCACGACACUCAAACGGGUGUGCCCCUCGGAAUGCCAAGGGGCGCAAGGUGCGUUCAAAGAUUCGAUGAUUCACUGAAUUCUGCAAUUCACAUUACGUAUCGCAUUUCGCUGCGUUCUUCAUCGAUGCGAGAGCCAAGAGAUCCGUUGUUGAAAGUUAUAUUGAUUGCGUGUGACCGCAAAAAUAAAAGACAUUCUACACUGCAUCUAGUUUUAUGUGAAAAACGCAAGCCCCCUCCAAGGGGGACCCACGCGGCGAUGCACAAAGGGUGAGGUGGAUGUGU